GACAGAGGGUGCAAACGUUGCUCGGAAUCACUGGGCGUAAAGGGCGUGUAGGCGGGAAGGAAAGUCAGAUGUGAAAUCCCCAGGCUCAACCUGGGAACUGCAUUUGAAACUCCCUUUCUUGAGUACCGGAGAGGAAAGUGGAAUUCCUGGUGUAGAGGUGAAAUUCGUAGAUAUCAGGAGGAACACCAGUGGCGAAGGCGGCUUUCUGGACGGUAACUGGACGCUGGAGAACGCGAAAGCGUGGGGAGCAAACAGG
rnacentral:rRNA from 1 species